AAAUGGCUUUAUCAUCCCACAUAAAUCUCAAAGGUAAACAGAUUUUAUUAUGAGUUAUUAUAGUAUACUGUAUUUCUUACAUUAGCAGUGUAUUCAGCGUCAACAACAUCUGACUCACGGAGAAGAAUGGUGCGGCCAAGAUCCUGUGCAGGCCUUUGGAUAAAAUUUCUGAAAUCAGCAGGGUCUUUAAUCCUACUGCAAAGGGC
rnacentral:lncRNA from 1 species